UAGUGCUCCAGAGGUGCCACAGAUCCCAUUGCACCACAGUGGGAAUGCCCAGCCUCCUUAUUUGACAGACAAAACUAGAAAGUUUGAGAAGAGCCCAGAAGUAACUGAUCCAGACAACAAAAUCAGAAAAGAACCCAGAUAUCCUCUUGCAGACCACUGCUCCUACAUAGUUCUUGUUCUGAUGGUCUACUUCCUAUGCCUUUGAGAGUGUCGUUCUUCUUCUCUGGAACUCAGUUUCUUUAAGUCUGAAACAAAGAAGUUCAGCAGGUAAGAGGUGGCCUCCUGGUUUCCACAGAAAGACUUUUCUAGCAGUGCUUGCUUUUUUUUAAAUCAAUAGAUUUUUUUUUUUCUUAACAUAACAAUCUGUAUUUUUAAACUCUUAUAAGUGCUCCUUGGUGGCCUUCUCACAUCCAUUCCCACUCCCCCUCCAUCUUCUGGCCCCAUAGCUCCUGCUUUCCACUCCGAAGAUACCCACCUCUGACCCCACCAAGCUCUUCCUCUUGAAAGCAUUGUUUUCAUUAUUUGCUGGUGAAAGUAUCCUAAACCACUAGCUUUAUUUUCUCCACAAAAAGACUUGACAACCUUUAGCCAAAAUUCUCUCAUGCCAACAAUGAGCUGGCACCUAGAGGGACUGUUCCCUUUUAGUGGUUAGUGCAUCCUCCCCAGCUCAGCCCACUUCCCUCAUCUGGCUACCUGUUUGCCUCAUGUAGGGAUUUCAGUCUGUGGCUCUCGCUUAAAUAAUUAUGUGCUACGUUGUUUUAUUCACUUUAUGGAUGCAGCACAUGUAGCUGUGUCCCCGGGUGGGCGUAUUGUAAUUCAUUUGUCUAUUAGGUCAAACAGCAAGUUUUUUCCCCCCGACGUGACCAGGCUAUACUUUGGACUGAUGAAACAGACCGGUGGUUUUGGCGUCGUGUGAUACCGCCUCAGUGAGGCUCUGCUGAACUCCGUGUAGAACUGUGUGCCAAAUUAUAUGCAAAUUUGUAUUUUUCAUGGGAGCUGAGAGCUUUGGCACUUAAUUUUGAUUUUUUUUUCAUAGCUAAGUAUGUAGCAUUGGCCAAGUUCUGUGUGUUUAAUCCUUUUAAUCAUUCAGCAUAAAUCAUGCUCUCAGCCCCUUAAUCAUUUUUGUUGUUCUUCUUUGAACUUACUCCAGUUUCCUUACAUCCUUCAUUGCAUAAAGAAGAGUAUUUUUAACAGGCUCAUUCCACUUCCAAGAAUCCAUCCUGUGAUGGAAACAGCGAGGGCUCAGCAGAUCUGAUGCCAUGAGAGCUGCCGAGGGAAGUUCAAGGAGUGGUCCUUGGUGGCAGAGAGGCUGAAAGCAUCCAGAAGGCCAUAGCCUCCUCGGUGCUCAGAAAAUAU